GACGAACGCUGGCGGCGUGCUUAACACAUGCGAGUCGAACGGAAAGGCCCUGCUUUUGUGGGGUGCUCGAGUGGCGAACGGGUGAGUAACACGUGAGUAACCUGCCCUUGACUUUGGGAUAACUUCAGGAAACUGGGGCUAAUACCGGAUAGGAGCUCCUGCUGCAUGGUGGGGGUUGGAAAGUUUCGGCGGUUGGGGAUGGACUCGCGGCUUAUCAGCUUGUUGGUGGGGUAGUGGCUUACCAAGGCUUUGACGGGUAGCCGGCCUGAGAGGGUGACCGGCCACAUUGGGACUGAGAUACGGCCCAGACUCCUACGGGAAGCAGCAGUGGGGAAUAUUGCACAAUGGGCGGAAGCCUGAUGCAGCAACGCCGCGUGCGGGAUGACGGCCUUCGGGUUGUAAACCGCUUUCGCCUGUGACGAAGCGUGAGUGACGGUAAUGGGUAAAGAAGCACCGGCUAACUACGUG
rnacentral:rRNA from 1 species